rnacentral:lncRNA from 1 species
CGCGCUACAGCAUUUAUAUAUCGCAACGUUACGGUGGUGUUGAUCCUAAGGAUCUUUGUGUUGUUGUGGUUUGCUUGUUCUUGAUGAUUGAUGUUGCGAAGGAGUUCUUGAUUUUUUCUUGCGCGGAGGAUCGUUGCUUCUUGGCCUUAGAACCUUCGACUUUUUUGGCGCGAAGGAUCCUUCGCUGAAUUGUGCUAUUUUUUUUCCUUUGCUCGACUCCCGUGGAGUGUUGUCGAGGAGAACCUUCGGCUGUCUAAGUCGGAGGUUUUGAAGGGAUGUUACGAGACUUCGUGCGAUACCCUUCAGAGACCUCUGAGUCUGACUUCCAUUGUUUCUGUUGUGGCUGUACACGACUUUGUGGUCGAUGUUCAUCACAACGCCGUAGUUCUAGUAUUACGAAGCUUCGUGCGAUACAAAGUUUUGUUGCUGUUGUGAGGCUAACUCCUGCUUCCAUGGUGGCCUAGGAUUUUUGCUUUUUGACUGCUAGGUUUGCACUCGAUGAUUGGGUCUUUGUAUGCUGAUCCUGAUUGAGGGUGGUGGUAGGGUGAGCCUGGUUUUAUAGGCUUUUAUGCAUUUAUUUUAUGUACUCCGUUAGGUCAAAAUUUAUUAUCGGGUUAUUGAUGGUUGUUGUGGUAGUUGGUUUUGCUG